AACCUAGCACACCUGCGGUGUGUACCUGCGGAAGGAUCAUUAAAAAAGUUUUUGCCUGCGGACCUUGUCCAAGGCGCAAAAAACCCACACCGUGUGCACCGUUAUCGUUUCUUUGGCAGGGGUUUGAGACGAUUGGUUUUUUUCCCUUUCUCUCAACUUCUCCUCUGGCUCUAUCCUUCGUUAAAUUUUUUUUUUCGUCGGACAGCCGGACAUGGGAAGCAGUUUUUUUUAACUACCCCU
rnacentral:misc_RNA from 1 species